GCCGUUUCCCUUUUGCCCUAACCUGCGCCAUCUUUUCUCCGACGCUCUCCUCAGCCGCCGCCCACACACACCUUCGACGAUCCAUCGCCGGCAGUCGAUCCCUUCCUUUUUCUCUCUUCUGCCGACGCUGACGAUGCCAGGGAACAGAGAGCGAGCGAUUUGUGUAUCUCCUUCCUUCCCGAGCCGCACACCCAACACCACUGCCGCCUUCCUCUUCCUCUCCUCCCGACGUCUAGCAGCGCCGAAGCCUCUUCUCCUCACCAACGUUAAGCCCUAGUUCUUCCUCUGCCCUAGCGCUGACGUAGUUCCGCGGCUACAACCGAUCGCCGGCAGAGAGGAUAUGGAGUAGGUAAGCACUGUUUGAUCUCCGACAGCAGGUAGAUUCCAGCAGCAGCUUCUUUAAUCGGGUGUCUACAAAGGUGUCACUGGAAUUAGGUCUUCUGGCAGCAGUUUCUCCUAGCUUCAACCAUUGUUUACCAAUGGCAAGUUUCUUCGGUUGUGAGCCUACAAAUGAGCAUCCAAAUUUGGGAAGUUGAUUUGAGACAAGCCCCUCGAUGUGGGAAGUGUAUUGGCACGAUUUUUCGAAAUGAAGGCGGG